rnacentral:lncRNA from 1 species
UUAACAUGUUUUUGUCGAAUAAUGUCAUAGAGCUCAAGAUAGAUAAUUUAAUGUGCAAUCAGUGAUUAAUGGUCUGAAAUUUGAUUUUGACUUGGAAGAUCUCGAAGCAUCAGUAGUAGAAUGGACUUUUUAUAACAUUAACACAGGUCUGAACAAGAUAUACACUUCAAUAUGUCCACUCAGUGCAUACUUUUCCACAAAAUAGAGAUUGUGACUUUUCCAGAAUUUUAUUCUCCGUAUCAACAUUAGUAAAAGCUCAAUUAAAGUAUUUUUUUGUGAUUAAUAUCAUAAAAAGCGGCCUUAAUGUUUUCAACUUAGAGCUUGUUCCAUUUUUUAACCCCACACUCUUGAUACCAUUUAAUUUUUCUUACUAUGCAUCCAUGUCCUACAUGUUAAAAUCAUGACUCUUAACAACUUUGUUUACUAAGCUACACUUUAGUGGACAAUAUUGAAUAAGAAAAUGACUCUUAACAACUAUGUUGAAAAGUUGAUAAUCAUAUUGACACGACAUUUAUACAUGUAUUCUGAGGAUUAAUCUUAAGAAAUCAUGACUUGUUCCAAGGGUCAUUUUGGUUGGGCAGUCAGGAAUUUCUGGGUGUAAAUAUGACAGAAAACAAUUAAGAACCUACACGAGAUUGUUGUGGAUAAAGAAAGACGCCCUGCAAGUUGAUUUUUUUCUGACCACAACCAUUGUUUUGGCAAGUCUAUUAUUAAGGUUUCUGUGUUAGUUUUUCAGUCACAUUUGAUAAUGUUGCUGCAUUUACUACCUCCCUCAGUUCGUAUUAAGCACGGAACUUAUAAGACUCAGCAGUAAUUGAAUGUUGUCCGUCUGUGUCACUACCAUUGUGCUGCACCGAUCUGCAUUCAAUUAUGAAAACGAGACAUGUAAAUAAUUUCGAAAUGAGUGAAUUUUAAAGUAGAUUGUGUUUGUGAAUAUUGUAAAUUUAGAAAUUAAAUAUUUGUUGAUUCGUACAUAAUACUAACUACUUGAUAUGAUCAACAAAUUCAUUGAUUCUACACUAGAAUAACAAGAUUGGAUGGAAGAAUUGAAGAAAAUCCAUCAUUUAUGUAAGAUUGGACCUUAGAUAAUUAGAAUUUUAGUUGCUUUAUUUACUUUUUUUUUCCCUUCAAUUAAUCGUCGCAUUUUAAUUAACGGUAAUAAUGUUUUA